rnacentral:rRNA from 1 species
GACGUAGGGCGCGAGCGUUGUCCGGAUUUAUUGGGCGUAAAGAGCUCGUAGGCGGCUUGUCGCGUCAACUGUGAAAACUCGGGGCUCAACCCCGAGCCUGCAGUCGAUACGGGCAAACUAGAGUGUGGUAGGGGAGACUGGAAUUCCUGGUGUAGCGGUGAAAUGCGCAGAUAUCAGGAGGAACACCGGCGGCGAAGGCGGGUCUCUGGGCCAUAACUGACGCUGAGGAGCGAAAGCGUGGGGAGCGAACAGG